rnacentral:rRNA from 1 species
CACCAGCGCCACAAGUGGGGACCACAUUUAUUGGGCCUAAAGCGUCCGUAGCCUGCUAGGUAGAUCCUUUGUGAAGUCAUCUCGCUUAACGUGAUGGAUUGCAGAGGACACUGCCAAGCUUGGAACCGGGAGAAGUGAGAGGAAUUGCAGGGGUAGCGGUAAAAUGUUAUAAUCCUUGCAAGACCACCGGUGGCGAAAGCGUCUCACUAGAACGGUUUCGACGGUGAGGGACGAAAGCUAGGGGAGCGAU